GGGAUGAAGUCAUGUGGAAAAACGCUCAAGUCAGAACAAAACUGUCUUUCUGCAAACGACUUCAUCACGUUGCCAGCAGCCUCGGAUCACUCUGCCUCUCACCUCUUCCAGCCCGCCCACAGGAGCGGGGAAGACCAGUUCCUCGGGUCUGGUUACAUCAUUUAGGCAAAAAUAAAUGUUAUAGAGACCCACCCAGGAGGUGCUGGGGAGCCAGUGGCUCCAUCCUCCUCCACGGCCCUGGCCUCCUCUGACCCACCAGGCUGGGAAGGCCCGGAGAGCAGGCUUGGGCUUUCUCUAGCUCUGUGUGCCUAGGGCCUAGUGCAGAAACAGAGCUCAGCUUCCUUUUAUCAGAGACUGGCAAAAUAAAAUAAAAUAAAAAGCACUCAGUGAAUGCAUACGUUCAUCCAUUCAACAAAUUCUGCUCCCUCCGACCAGGCAGUGGAGGUUCUGGCAUUGGAAUUAACGCUAGUGGAAAGAGGAACUAGAAGAUGGAAGGAGUGAAGGAGCAAAUUCCUCACUCGGGUGACAAGGCACAACGGAGCAGGAUGCGGGCCCCAGAGAGGUGUGAAAAAGCUGAGUUCCAUUUCUUACUCCAGUCAAUGUUUCUAGUCAACAGAAUUGUCUUCGGCAGAGGAUCCUGGCAACAUGGUGGGCACCUAGGGAUUUAGGGAAGCCACUCUACUGCUCUGGCAUUGAUUGUCCUCUGCAGGAGACAGAUGGCAUCAGUUACCGGAGUUCCUUGCUACAAUGGAGAUAUGGCCAAGGACACGCAGUCAGCACCCAGCGACUAUCUAUGGAAUUAGUGAACCGAGGAAUGAAGUCUCCUGCUCCAGUGCUCCAGAGUUUCACAUGUGGCCUUGUUUCCUCACCAUCCUGGCUGCUCUGGCUUACAGAACUUGGGUGGCAGACUCACUGCCAGUGGUGGGGAGCAGCCCCUGUGCCGCACGUGUCCAGCCUCAAGGUCCCAGAGCAAGCAGUUCAUGCUCCAAGCCACCUUCUAGAGAGAUGGGAGAAAGAACAGGGAAGCUAGAGAGCUUCUACCACCAUCUGAGUCCCUGUAGAUGGAGAGAGUAGCUGGAGAGGCAGGAGUGCAAGGGGCUCUGCAGCUCUGGAGACAUGGGACAGGCCACUUGCCUCUCAGAGGUGCUGUGGCAGAGUGUACCCCCUUGGUCUUCUCAGCAGUUUGCCUUAUGUCUAAAGCUUCCUGGGCCCUCAGUACAGGGUGCUAGUUUUGUCUAGGGGGCAGCCAACCCCCUACCAAUGAGGUUAGAAUUGGUUGGUAUGCACCCCAUUCCUCAGCGGGUCAAUCUGAGACAUGUCCUUCUCAGCCUUGCAGACGGCCCUGAGGGGGAGUGAAAUGUGAAAAUGACCUAUUUACGAAUACAUCCUUUAUUUGCCUGUCAUUGUUCACUGUCUUGACACCGGUGUUCUCCCAGUGCCUCCACGGUGUUCUCCCAGUGCCUCCACGGCCUCCUGCCUCCUGUGUUCCUGGCUGCCUAGCCCUCACCCUGAGCCUGGGAAGAAGUCAGGACCUUUCACUUGCCACCCUGGAUUAUGCAGUGACCUUUUGUCCCCAGGAUUCAGCAUUUUGCCUGACAGGAGGACCAAGAACUGAGGAAAAAAAGUAAAUAGCUUUGGGCUGGCUUCAGAAGGAGUGGCAGGGAGCUCCCUUCAGCCUCCUGUGAAAUGGGUAUGCUGGCUUUAUAUUUCAAGAGAACGCUGUCAGGGAACGGGGAAAAGGGCUGACUCAUCAGUUCUUAAUGGCACUAACACCCAGCCUCUGUGAGCCCUCCUGGGAUGUCGUCGAGGAGUGAUUUGCUUUUCAGGGCUUUGACAUCAGAGGCCUCCUCUCUGUCUGCUGGAGUUUGUCAUGCUCUAGCUCUUCCUAGGAAAAUUGCCUAACGCUGUGGCAAAAGAGAGGUAAUAAAAUAUUCAUUUGCCAAGGCUAGAGGGUGGAAGCUAUCGAAUCCUCCAGGAGAAGAUGUCCUAAAUUGAAGACACACACAGACCCAGAUGGAAUCACAUGCCCACACAGCAGGCAUUCUCAGGCACACAGCCUCCCAUGUACACAAAAGCCUCUGCCUGUGCACUCACAAAGCCCCACAUGUGCAAGCACACAUGUACCCGUCACACACCUACACAAUAUACUAGUCUGUACUAAGGACACAUACACGUCACAAUGUGAAGAUACAUGCACAUUGCACAAGCCUGUGGAACCCUGCUCCAUGCACACACGCACACACCUAUACCUAUCCCCCCACCAUCGUAAUUAAAAGUGACGCCAUCCUAGCUCAUCUACUGUGAGUGGAAGAGCCCAUCAACCUGGCCCUGACUUUUGAACAAUAGCUGCCUGUCUGGCUGUCCUGAGGAAGCCCAGUUCUGUCAGGCAGAAAGCAGAUGCCGUGCUGGGGGAAGCAGGAGAAGUGUGACUCAGAGGUGAGUUGCACAACUCGGUUCUGCCCGUCUGCUCUGCCCAGGAAGAGGAUAGGGGGAGCUUGCAAAUGGGAAAGCUGCUGCACUUCUGGAAGCUUCCAGAUUAUCAGGCUGGAGGAUGCCAAGGCUCCCCGAGGGCAGCAUGAGGAGGCUACUUUGCUGUCAUGAGUGGGACGCAUGUGCUUGAUCACAUGGGGCACCUUCCCUUAGAGGGAGGGGUGCUGUGGCUGCCACCUUCUCACCAGGGCUAAAGCCUUUCCCUGACCUGCUCCUGCCCAUCUGGCCUGCUGCCCCAAGGCACCACCACACCUACAUAGAUAGCAGGGAGGCCCAGUCUUGUGUUGUGGACACUCAAGUUGGCCUGCCUCUAUAAAGGUGAUACUGCCUACUGAUGGUUCUGGAAGCCCUGACGGAGCAGCUCAUAACUAGAGGAUUGGUGCCCAGACCUGAGGCUUUGGAAACGAUCCCAGCUCAGACUUCAUGAGAGAAUGACAGUGUCCCAGCUCCUUGGGAUAUUGUGUUUUUUUUCAUACCAUUUCUUCUGCAAACAUUAACCAAACAUUGACUAAAAGCUAGGGCCUUGGCUGACACAGUUGGUUGCUGGAAGGAUCUCACAGUCUGUGAGGGAGGCAGGCAAGGGCCAAAAGUGACUGCAAUCUGCUCAUGGAGCAGCUCACUCUAACUGGUUCUGGAAGGUUGAGUUGGCUGGACAAAGAAAGAGGUAUGGAUGUGAGUGGGUGGGAGGUAGAAGGGCAGGAGGGUGCCAACAAGGGAGAGUUAAAUUCUGAGCAGAGGAGCAGCAUUCACACAAAAAAGUUUGUUUUCCUACAUAGAUCACUGUAGACUCGGGUUGGCAAAGUACAGCUCACAGGCCAAAUCUGGUUCACUUUCUGUUUUUGUAAAUAAAGUUUUAUUGGAACCCAGCCAUGCUCAUUCAUUUCUUUUCUUCGGCAAAGUUGAGUAGUCACAGCAUGGCUCUCAGAUCCCAAACUAUUUAUGAUCUGAGUCUUUACAGACAAAGUUUGUCUAUCCCUGUUCUA
ensembl:lincRNA